rnacentral:rRNA from 1 species
UACGUAGGGGGGCAAGCGUUGUCCGGAUUUAUUGGGCGUAAAGAGCGUGUAGGCGGCUUUGCAAGUCCGUUGUGAAAACUCGAAGCUCAACCUCGAGACGCCGGUGGAAACUGCAAAGCUAGAGUCCGGAAGAGGAGAGUGGAAUUCCUGGUGUAGCGGUGAAAUGCGCAGAUAUCAGGAAGAACACCCGUGGCGGAAGGCGGCUCUCUGGGACGGUACU